rnacentral:rRNA from 1 species
GUAGCGUGCAAGCGUUAUCCGGAAUCAUUGGGCGUAAAGAGCUCGUAGGCGGUUCAGCAAGUCGGCUGUGAAAUCCCGAGGGCUUAACCUCGGAACUGCAGUCGAUACUGCUGUGACUAGAGUCCGGUAGAGGAGAAUGGAAUUCCCGGUGUAGCGGUGAAAUGCGCAGAUAUCGGGAGGAACACCAGUAGCGAAGGCGGUUCUCUGGGCCGGUACUGACGCUGAGGAGCGAAAGCGUGGGUAGCAAACAGGAUUAGAUACCCUGGUAGUCCACGCCGUAAACGUUGGACACUAGGUGUGGCGUUCCGACCAACGGGUGCCGUGCCGAAGCUAACGCAUUAAGUGUCCCGCCUGGGGAGUACGGCCGCAAGGCUA